rnacentral:misc_RNA from 1 species
AAUGAUCAACUGCUUUGACUUUGUUGUCGAAGUGAAGUUGGAUUUGGAGUGUUUGCUGGCCUGUCCGGCUCCUCCCAAAAGUAUAGACCUCCUUCCUCUCUUGGUAAGAAAGUAUCCCUUGACGUGAUAAUUGUCUGCGUCGUGGAGAAAGCCUCGAGUGGAGAAGGUGUGGCUUGUGUGGGGUUUAUAUGGCCUCCCUUGGUUUUGACCA